ACAGGAAAAUAAUGCGCAACAGAUUACACGCACAUUCGUGAAGCGGCCUUAUUCUGUCCCUCCGCUGGGGAUAGACAUGUUCCUGAGCGAACAUAGCGAAUAACUUUGAAAUGCUGAAGCACAUCCCCCCAUCACCCAGACAGAUGUAAUGAAGUUGGGAACCUCCCGUCCAACAGGAACAUCCCCCUAUCUCAGGAGAAUAGACAAAAGACCCCAUGGUGGUGGGCGUGGUCGUGUGCUGACCGACCAGUAGGAGUGGGCCGUGGAGGAAAUGGUGAGGGCCAGGGAAUGACAUACGGCUGUCUGAAAUAAAGCAGGCCAUUGAGGAGAACGAUGACGCCUUUGCCAAUGUGAUAUCCAUCAGCCUACCAUCAAUCACCCUGCUUUUAGAAGAGUCACCAGGUGUUUAUGAAACACAUUUACCUGGUGCCUUUUGAGAGAAACAACGACCAGGUGAAACAACUACAGGCUGAGUUUUGUUCAGGUACAGAACUAUAUACUGUUUUACUGUACAGCACUAUAUACUGUUUUACUGUACAGUACUAAUAUACUGUUUUACU